rnacentral:misc_RNA from 1 species
AACGCACAUUGCGCCCCCUGGCAUUCCGGGGGGCACGCCUGUCCGAGCGCCAUCGCACACCUCGAGCCGCGUGCUCGCAGUUGGGCGCCGCCCCCCGGGGCGCGCCCCGAACAGAUAGGCGGCGCCGCCGGCCCCGGACGCAACGAGCUUCGGCCCGCGCCCGCGACCGGCUGCUGCCGCCCGCCCCACCGCAGAAGGCCUCGGAUCAGGCGGGGAUACCCGCUGAACUUAA